rnacentral:rRNA from 1 species
CCGCGAAUAGCUCAUUACAAUAGCCGUUGUUUCUUGGAUCCUCAAUUUACUUGGAUACCUGUGGUAAUUCUAGAGCUAAUACAUGCGACUAAGGGCCGAACUCACGUGACGCUUGCAUUUAUUAGAUCAAGACUAACCGGCUUCGGCCGUUAACUUGGUGACUCUGAAUAACUCAGCUGAUCGCACGGUCUAGUGCCGGCGACAUAUCUUUCAAGUGUCUACCUUAUCAACUGUCGAUGGUAGUUUAUGUGACUACCAUGGUUGUAACGGGUAACGGAGAAUCAGGGUUUGACUCCGGAGAGGGAGCCUGAGAAACGGCUACCACUUCUAAGGAAGGCAGCAGGCGCGCAAAUUACACAAUCUCAGCACGAGGAUGUAGUGACGAAACAUACCGAGGCGAUGCCCUUUCGGGUGUCGUCAUUGGAAUGAGUCGAAUCUAAAAAAUUCGGCAAGGAUCUAGUGGAGGGCAAGUCUGGUGCCAGCAGCCGCGGUAAUUCCAGCUCCGCAAGUGUAUAUCUAUGCUGUUGCGGUUAAAAAGCUCGUAGUUUGAUUCGCGUACUUAGCACGCAGUGUGGCCUUUCGGCUACUACUGUGAUGCGGUACAUUAUCGUCAGUUUGUCGUUGAUGCUCUUCAUUGGGUGUCAGCGGCGGCUGUCAAGUUUACUUUGAACAAAUUAAAGUGCUCAAUACAGGCGUUUCGCUUGUAUAGUUCUGCAUGGAAUAAUAGAAUAGGACUUACGUUCUAUUGUGUUGGUUUUCAGAACGAAAGUAAUGAUUAAGAGGGACAGACGGGGUCAUUCGUACUGCCACGUUAGAGGUGAAAUUCUUGGAUCGUGGCAAGACGAACUACUGCGAAAGCAUUUGACAAGAAUGUUUUCAUUAAUCAAGAACGAAA